ACGGGUGAGUAAUGCAUAGGAAUCUGCCCUGUAGUGGGGGAUAACUUGGGGAAACCUGAGCUAAUACCGCAUAUCUUCUGAGGAAGAAAGUUAGGGGUAACUCUGACGCUGUAGGAUGAGCCUAUGUCUGAUUAGCUAGUUGGUUAGGUAAAGGCUGACCAAGGCGAUGAUCGGUAACUGGUCUGAGAGGACGGACAGUCACACUGGGACUGAGACACGGCCCAGACUCCUACGGGAGGCAGCAGUGGGGAAUAUUGGACAAUGGGGGCAACCCUGAUCCAGCGAUGCCGCGUGUGUGAAGAAGGCCUGCGGGUUGUAAAGCACUUUUAUUGGGGAAGAGUGGUGUGGUGGUUCAUAGCCAUUGCAUUUGACGGUACCCAAGGAAUAAGCACCGGCUAACUCUGUGCCAGCAGCCGCGGUAAUACAGAGGGUGCGAGCGUUAAUCGGAAUUACUGGGCGUAAAGGGCGCGUAGGCGGGCUAAUAAGUCAGAUGUGAAAGUCCUGGGCUUAACCUGGGGAUUGCAUUUGAAACUGUUGGUCUGGAGUGAAGUAGAGGGUGGCGGAAUUUCCGGUGUAGCG
rnacentral:rRNA from 1 species